AAUUUCUCCGCUCCUGCACCCCAUAAAGACUGCAGUCUUUAUCCUCGCUUCCUGAUAAAAUCGCUGCUGCACAGCAACAGAUGCCAUCCUUUGAAGUUCCGAUUCAUUUAGCUCUCUGUAGGGUUGGUUAUUUAUGAAAGCCAUUCCGGGAACACGGUCAUUUACAACAAAGAACUCUUUUCGCCGAUAUUCAUCAAAAAGCCGCCGAGCUAAGCUUCCCGACGAAGAGCCAGGUUGACUGGCUUCUUCAUGGUAAUACCCGUCCAUAAAGUGUAAACUGUGGUUUGGUUGAGGAAAGUAGCGCCAAAGACAAAUGUAAUUGCAGCCAAAAGACUGCAUUAGCGAUCGGAGAUAGGUGGCACGGUCUCCAUCACUGAUAAGGGGCGAAAAAACGGUAUCCAUGUGAAGUGGAAGCAGACAGAUAUAGCUAUAAAGCUUUAACUAAAGAUGCAUGCAGCUGCAUGAGAG
rnacentral:misc_RNA from 1 species